CCUGGGCCUCCGAAGCUGAGUGUGCAAACUCAACCACUCGGCCAGGGGGCGGCCCCUAAAGUUCACAGAUUUAAAUGUUAAUCUCAUCCAAAACACUCUUACAGAAAUAUCUAGAAUGUGUGACCAUAUAGUUGGGCACUGUGGUACAGCCAAGUUGACACACAACAUUAACCAUCACAGCACCUGACAUGGGGAGGAGGAACAGAGGCUCAGAGCUUUCUAGGCCGUGGAAACAAUCCUUGCGUCGGUCCAGAGGUGGGACGAGCCUUCGGGACAGGGGGAAGUCCACUAAGGAUAGAGAAUGUGGGUGGGAAGUGGGGAAAGAGCAGGUGGCCCUGUCCACACACAGCAGGGAGCAUUUGCUGAGUUCUAACUUCUCAGGCAGAUUUGGGGAAAACGGGGUGGUUCAUAGCUGACAUUGCCCUUCCUUUCCCCUUCCCCCACCCUGGCCCGGGCCGGAUGUGGUGGGCAGAAAAGAGGGCCUGGCAGGCCGUGGCUGCUUCAGCUGCUGCCUCCAGCCGCCCCUGGCUUAGGGGCCUGUGCCUGCUGUGGGGGAGGGGCGGGCCUGGCUGGGUUCCCUUGUGCUCCCCACCCCGACUCUGACUUAUCUCCCCCCGCCCCGCCCAGCCCCGCGUCUCCACCUGUUUGCCUCCUCUGUUCUCUCCACUUUUGUCCCCGGCUGUCUGCCUCUCUCUCUCUCUUUUUUCUCUGCUUUGUUCUCUGUCUCUAACUACGUGGUGUCUGUUCUCCGUGUGGGUCUCUGUCGCUCCCUCUUCCAUCUCUGAGAUAACGAGGCACACGGCAAUGGCGCUUUGUCAGCCAGACACUUGAGCAUCCUAAACACAGAGAAAAUCCAGCUGGAAGCACCUCAGAGACCAUCUUGUCCAACAGCCGGGCUGAUGGAGGCCUCCGAGUCUUGCCAGAGAUCGCUCAGCAGAAUCAAACCCCAAAAGUCACAGUUUCCCUGAAUUCAGGCACACCCAGGUAUGAUGGGGACGUCUCUCUGCCCGGCCCCAGGCUGGGCACGGGGUGCUGGGCCCACGGAAGUGAACCAGCCCUCAUCUCUGCCCUCUGGAAGCUCAGCUCAGGCCAACCAAUACCGACUGAGCACCUACGACGUGUGGGUGCCAGGGCCAGCACGGCUCUACUCAGCAUCCGGCUGCUUCUCCCACCUCCUCUGCUGCCACCCACCGCACUUGCCUAGAUGUGGCAGUAGCCUCCUCAUGGGCUCCCAGCUGCUGUCCUUGCCCCCGGCAUCUCUGCUCCGAAUGGAACUCAAAGCGGUCUGUACAGGAGGUGGAUCAGAUCACGUCGCUCCCCUGCUCAAAACCCUCCACUGGCCCUGACGUAGAGAGAAAAUUUAACAGUGGAAAGAUCCAGGGUCACCACCAGACCAGCCUGAGACCAGUAACGGUGGGGCCGCCUGACAUUCGGGGCCCUCGGUGGGAUGUGGUGUGAGAAGCACGGCCCCACCUCUGAAGUCUUGACUCAUUAUCUGUGGCAUUUCCACGCAUAUGAAAUCAGAGAACGUGCUAAGCUGGUUUCCACGAGGAAACCGGCAGACACCAUGACUGUCCUGAACUUGUCAUGAGAGUCAAUGUCUUAUUCACGAUCGGCAGCACACGCCAAACGUCCUUCAACAAAACAACGAGGCAGCGUGGUAUCCAGAGCAGGUCCCCACAGCAACACGGUGCCUCUCUCGGACGCCGUGCUGAGUAAAAGAGGGCUUACACGAGAGAGCACGCAGUGUGGCUUCAUCUGGGGACGUUCUAAGACGGCCUAAAGUGGUCUGUAGUGAGAGACAUCAGAACUGUGGUUGCGGGGGGUGCGGGGGGCCUAGAAAGAGGUCGAGGGGAGCUUCUGGGAGGAUGGGAAUUUCUGUAUCUUGAUCUGAGUGGUGAUCACAUGCGUACAAAUUCACCAAGCGGCCAUUUAAGACUUGUUCACUGUAUGGGUGACAUACUUCAAUUUAAUAAAGCAAUCAAAUGAAUAAACUUUUUAAAAAGUCAAUGUCAGGGGAAAUUGAUGAGAGACUGUUCUAGGUGGAAAGAAUUGGACAUAUCAAAUGCAGCCCGGAAACCCUCAGUAGGUCCCAGUUCCAGGGAAGGGAAGGGCAGAAGGAAGGAAGGGAGACACAGCUCUGAGAACCGCUGGGGCAAUGUGACCAUGGGGAGAGUAUUCGGGAAUUACUUUCGCUGCCUCUGGCGAUCGAUGGAUGGACCGCAGGACCGUGCUGACGCCGGAGCAGCCUUGCUGUUAGGAGGCCCCGGGCCAGGCACUCCACAGCCGGGAGUCAGGACGUCUUCAGUUACCUUCAAACGGAUCCAAGGAGAAGGCAAACGCGCCAAAAUAGCAAGAGUGGUUGAACCUAAGAGGAACAUACCAGGCCUGGGGAGCAGCUAGUGGUCUCAAAUCCCAUUUUACGGAUGGACACAUGGAGGAUCAGAGAGGCAGAAUGACUCCCCUGGUCCCGCUGGUGCAUCCCCAUGUUCUCUGCCACUGAAGGUUCUGGGGGGCAGGAGCACUGCAGAGAGAGCUGAGAGAGGACUGGAGCGGUGCGAUGGAGGCCAGGAGAUGGGGGAGGAGGCUGGGGCAGAGCUGCGGACACGGAGAGGGGGCUGCUCAGGGGGCCGAGGGCUCCUGGGGCUGUUUCUAUGGAGAGAAAGUCUACUUCCCGGGCAAUUGGGCGUCACCCGUGAGACGACAUCACGGCGGCGACACCACCUUUCAGGGCUCUUGGGAGGGCUGAAGUUCUUAGCACAGUGCCCGUUCCUAAGGGGCCCCCCCACCACGCCUUUCUAGGUGCCGUGGUUUCCUGCCACGUCCGAACAUUCCCACCGAGGGGCCUCGUGCCCAUAAUGGCCCACGCCUUCCGCCGCGCUGCACCCCUCGGCCCCUGUGCCAGCUGCGCUGCGGAAGGCCUCGUCCAAAGCACGCAGCAAGGGAAGGGGCCUGGCUGCGCUGUCCUGGAAAUCUGGGGCCUUGGCACCAGCUGCUGUGUGACCUUCUGGCCCGAAGCCCCACUGAGUCAGGCCAGCCCAGCCCAAGGGCUCCCAGGACCUGCGACGGCCUGCCAGCUCUCCUCCAGCCCACUCCCAGGCCACCCUUCAGGUCCCCAUCCCUGCCUCUGCCCCGUCCCCGUCUCUGCCCCAUCCCUGCCUCCCCUCCCAGACCCUGCCUCCCUCCCGACAGUGCCUCCCCUUCGGGCCCAGCAGGGGGAUCUGAGCCUGAUGGAGGCCAAGAAGACGGGUCCGAUGCCAGGCGCCCCCUGCAAACCCCAGGCACAGCUGGGAUGUGGGUGCAGUCGUGGUCUCCAGGGAACCUCACACCUGGAAGGAGCCCUGGGGUCCUCCUGCCAGGCCAGGGAGGUCCCUGGGGAGCUGAGGCUUCCCUCUAACUGCUGACUAACGUGACUGUGAGUCACUGAAGGGGGCACGGGGCGGUGGCUUCUUAGAGCAGAGCAAAGAGUCAGCGACAACCUCAGGUGUGCCAGCUUUCAAAAGCCUCCCGGCAGACAGCUUCUGGGAUGCUCCGGGGGUGAGAGAGGGAGGACUCGCUGGGUUCUCAAGUUUGUUCAGACUUGGAGGCCCCUUGGGCCUGGAUCCUCAGUCCCUGACAUUGCCCUGGUAGGACACUGGCCUUCAUCGAGUUUUAUCUCCUGUCCUUCUUGGGCUGAGAGCUCCCAUCACCAUGUGACUCUAGGAUACCAGGAGGUGGUGUAGAUGCAAGGGGUACAGGUUGGGAGGUGGUACGGGCAGGGGAUACAGGCUGGGGGCUGUGAGUAGAGGAGGUACAGGCUGGGGAGGUGGUGCGGGUACAGAAGGUAUAGGCUGGGGAGGUGGUGUGGGUAUAGGGGUACAUGCUGGGGGUGGUAGUUAGGUGCAGUGGGUAUGGGUUGGGAGGGUAGAGUGGUGCAGUGGGUACAGAAAGGGCUAGACCCUGCCCCAGCCUCAAGGAGCCAGGAGUAAUUGCACAAACUGCACUAUGGUAAGACAGGUUGACAAGCUCUGUUACCUAAUUCAGGAGGAGCCCUUCACCUGAACUGGGGAACAGGAGGGCAGAGCUACAGAGGGACUGCUCAGGCAGAGAGCCACCAGUAGGAAGAUCCAAAGGAAAGAGAAUCCUUCUGCGUGGCUGGUGGAAAGAAUUUAGGGGGGAUGGCCGCAGUCCAGCUGGAGAGGAAGGAUUGGGAGACCUUGAGGGCUGGGCUGAAGGAUUUGAUCAUUUGGAGGGCAAUAGGGAGCCACAGAAGAUUCUUUAGCAAGAGAACGACAUGGUGAGCUGGCUUUUUCCCCCGGGAGCUCGGGUGGAGGUGAAGCCAGUGGGGAGGGUUCCCACGGGGACCGGGCAGAAGGGCAGUUCCUAAGUCAGGGACGGGGUGAGGGUCUCCUGGGGUGCCGUGGGCCUGGAGGCAGGGCCUAACUUGGGGCUGACCAGGCGGGGCAUUUGAGCCCCAGGGAGCAGCAGGAAGAGACCCAGAGAGGGAGCCUCUGGAUAACUCAGACGGCAAGGCUCAGCUCUUUACUGCACAGAGGGGGGACCGAGGCCUGAGGAAGUCCCACACAAGUCUGUGGCCGUUCCCGGCCCACCCCAAGGGAUGAGCUCCGCUUCUGGGCUCUGUCUGCUCAGACGGCACCCUGUCUGCUCUGGAAUCGGGCCGCCAGGACUCCGAGCCUGCUUCUGCCCCCAGGUUCUCUCCCGUGGGAGUAGAUGGCUUCAUCUUCCUGUUGGCAAAGUGGGAAUGACAAUAGCACCUGCCUCAGGGGGCUACCGUGAGGACAAGAUGCCUUCCCGGGCACAGGAGCUAGGAACAGCACACAGCGAGUGCUCGGGAGUGUUCCUGCCACCAUACCCCGCUCCUGUGUCCUCCUCUCCCCCUGCCUUUCUGCCUCCACCCCACAUACAACCUUCCCCCACUUCCUUUUUCCCUUCCAUAAAAAGCAGUCAUCCACCUG